rnacentral:rRNA from 1 species
AGUGAACGCUGGCGGUAGGCCUAACACAUGCAAGUCGAACGGCAGCACAGUAAGAGCUUGCUCUUACGGGUGGCGAGUGGCGGACGGGUGAGGAAUACAUCGGAAUCUACUUUUUCGUGGGGGAUAACGUAGGGAAACUUACGCUAAUACCGCAUACGACCUACGGGUGAAAGCAGGGGAUCUUCGGACCUUGCGCGAUUGAAUGAGCCGAUGUCGGAUUAGCUAGUUGGCGGGGUAAAGGCCCACCAAGGCGACGAUCCGUAGCUGGUCUGAGAGGAUGAUCAGCCACACUGGAGCUGAGACACGGUCCAGACUCCUACGGGAGGCAGCAGUGGGGAAUAUUGGACAAUGGGCGCAAGCCUGCUCCAGCCAUACCGCGUGGGUGAAGAAGGCCUUCGGGUUGUAAAGCCCUUUUGUUGGGAAAGAAAAGCAGCAGGUUAAUACCCCGCUGUUCUGACGGUACCCAAAGAAUAAGCACCGGCUAACUUCGUG